rnacentral:rRNA from 1 species
GACGAACGCUGGCGGCGUGCCUAAUACAUGCAAGUAGAACGCUGAAGAGAGGAGCUUGCUCUUCUUGGAUGAGUUGCGAACGGGUGAGUAACGCGUAGGUAACCUGCCUUGUAGCGGGGGAUAACUAUUGGAAACGAUAGCUAAUACCGCAUAACAAUAGGUGACACAUGUCAUUUAUUUGAAAGGGGCAAUUGCUCCACUACAAGAUGGACCUGCGUUGUAUUAGCUAGUAGGUGAGGUAACGGCUCACCUAGGCGACGAUACAUAGCCGACCUGAGAGGGUGAUCGGCCACACUGGGACUGGGACACGGCCCAGACUCCUACGGGAGGCAGCAGUAGGGAAUCUUCGGCAAUGGGGGCAACCCUGACCGAGCAACGCCGCGUGAGUGAAGAAGGUUUUCGGAUCGUAAAGCUCUGUUGUAAGUCAAGAACGAGUGUGAGAGUGGAAAGUUCACACUGUGACGGUAGCUUACCAGAAAGGGACGGCUAACUACGUG